rnacentral:lncRNA from 10 species
GCCCCGCGCCGGUGCCCACGCGUCCCGGGCUUCAGGGGAGCACCUGGGAAGCGCUGGGGGUCGCGUGCCCUUGGCCGGAGGCCUGGUCACCCGCAGGCCCUGCCAUCCUCGGCUUGGCCGCUGCUGCCCGCGCGCCUGUGGCGGAGCGAGCCUGCCUCCAGGGCAGCCUCACCGCCUGGAUCCUGGGCAGGAGACCUCCCAGGUCCCUUCCUCUCUCCAGCUGUCUGGAAUGGAGCCGCCAUGUCUGGUGCUCAAGCGGCCAGCUCUGACCCAGAGGUAACACGUUAUGGAUUGUGGAGCCGCAGGAUGGAGUAGCCUGGGUCUGAUGGUUCUGUUAGUCAAGGCUAUCCAAAGAAGCAGGACCAAUAGGAAAUACAUAUGUUUACGUAUGUAUAUAUGUUAUGUAUAUGCUAUGUAUACACACACACACACACACACACACACAGAGAGAGAGAGUUAAGAAAGUGGCUCAUGUGAUUGUGGGACUGGCAAGUUCAAAAUCUGCAGACCCAGAGAAGAGCUGAUGUUGCAGCUCAAGUCUGAAGGCAAUUUCGGGGCAGAAUUCCCACUUCUUCAGGGGACCUCAAUCUUUUCUCUUACAGCCUUUUACUGAUUGAAUGAGGCCCACCCACAUUAUGAAGGGUCACCUGCUUUACUCGAAGUUUACUGAUUUAAAUGUUAAUCACGUAAAAAAAAAAUCUUCACAGCAACAUCCAGAUUAGUGAUUGAGCAAAAUCUGGUUGCCAUGGCUGUUAUGGACUAAGUUUUGUCUCCCCCAAAUUCACGUGUUGAAGCCUGAACCCCUGAUAACUCAGAAUAUGACUGCAUUUGGAGACAGGGUUGUAAAACAGGAAUUAAGUGGCCUGGGUGCGGUGGCUCACGCCUGUAAUCCCAGCACUUUGGGAGGCUGAGGCAGGCAGAUCACGAGGUCAAGAGAUUGAGACCAUCCUGGCCAACAUGGUGAAACCCCAUCUCUACUAAAAGAUACUAAAAGAUACAAAAAAGAUAUCUCUACUAAAAGAUAAAUAGCCGGGCAUGGUGGCACGUGCCUGUAAUCCCAGCUACUUGGAGGCUGAGGUAGGAGAAUCGCUUGAACUGGGGAAGUGAAGGUUGCAGUGAGCUGAGAUCGCUCCACUGUACUCCAGCCUGGUGACAGAGCGAGACUGUGUCUCAAAACAAAACAACAGAAGAAUUAAGUUAAAAUGAGGCUUUUAGGGUGGACCCAAAUCCAAGCUGACUUGUGUCCUUAUAAGAAAAGAAGAUUAGGACACACAGAGGGGCACUGGGAUGCAUGUGCACAAAAGGAUGACCAUGUGAUGGAAGGGGAAGCAAGAAGGUGGCAAGCCCAGGAGAGAGGCCUUUGGAGACACCAACGCUGCCAGCACUGUGGUCUUGGAUUUCCAGCCUCCAGGACUGUGAGAAAAUAAAUUUCUGUUGUUUA